CCGGAGAAGUUGCUCUCUCCUGGCUCUGCCCAUGUGGCGUAUGGGAGCGUCGAGGCCUGCGGGCUCCGUGACGUACAGUCCCCUUCCACGCCGUUGGAGAACAAGCCGGGCCCCUGGUCUGCAGCCUGCAUAUUCCUACUGCUUCUCUGAGUCCUCGGACCCUGACUGAGGAGAUAAACCAUGCAGGAGACACGGCCUCGGCGGAGCUCCUAGGGGCCCUGCUGGCAAACGCCAUUGGGGAGAGGACGCAGGGAUCCCCUCUUCUAACUGCUCUUUGCUUGUCCUGUCUGCAGGUUUGCCAGCAGCAGCAGCAUUGCACUCCUGCCCAUAAGGUAAAAUGAAGAAGUAGCUGGAUAAACACUGCUCUACAGCCAAAAUGCUUCUGAAAUAAAUGUAGUCAAACUUUACUAAUUCUGGGUCACUGAGAACGAAAAUGAUGCUUAAAAUUGUUGAUUGGCUCUAGUUUUUAAGAUAUGCUAUUGGGUCAGUAUAUACGACCUUUGACUUGCCAAUGGCAGAGGAUAAGUGAAUUAUAAGGGGAAGGGAUCUCAAUUUAAACCAGAAAUGACUAAAAGACAUCUUUGACUGGAUCUAUGAAUAAAUGUGACUGGGUUUGGACAGUACUUGCUUUUAGGCAAAACCAUGAAUGAUGCAAUCUGUAGCUGGUAUUGCAUCAUACAUGAUAUGAAUUGCAUCAUGUUAUUCCUAAAAGUCGUGGAUGAUGCAAUCAUAACGAAGCUUACAUCACUCUACUGAACAAAUUGCCCUAUAUCAGCUCUAGAAAUCAUAUAGUGUCGUGCUCUCUUGUAUGUCAGUGCUUGAUUUUGCAAAGGGACAUAUUUCUGUUUAGCCAAAGUGAGCAGAGAUGCCUCCUGCUUGUGUGAACAGUGCAGAUAACUUCUGCUAUGUUUGUGGUGAAGUGACUUUUGUAUCACAAAAGCGCAGUAUAACCACACUAGUUAAGAAAGCGUAUCGCCUUUAUUUUGGCUGCAAAAUUGGAGAUCAGGACAAGAGGUGGGCCCCACACAUAUGCUGCAACACUUGUGCAACAAAUCUUCGCCAGUGGUUGAACAGGAAAAGGAAAUCUAUGCCUUUUGCAGUGCCAAUGAUUUGGAGAGAGCCAACAGAUCAUACCAGCAAUUGUUACUUCUGCAUGGUGCCUCCAGUUGGGAAAGGUGUGUCAAAGAAGAAAAAGUGGACUGUGCAUUAUCCAAACAUUCCAUCAGCUAGACGCCCAGUACCCCAUGGAGAAGGACUGCUGGUUCCUGAUGCACCAGAAUCAUUCUCACUUGAGUUAGAAGAGGAAGAGGAUGAAACUUCUGGUCCUGAACCAUCAAUGUCACAAGACCCACAUUUUCUCCCAUCCUCCUCUGAACCACACCUCAUAACACAAGGUGAACUGAAUGACCUUGUGUGGGAUUUAGAACUACACAAGAAUAAGGCAGAGCUGUUGGGCUCCAGACUACAACAGUGGAAUCUCCUGGCAGGUGGUGAUAGGUUUUCAGUGUUCCAUGACCGUCAAAAAAGAUCUUGUCCCAUUCUUCAUGGAAGGUGAUCUUGUAAAUUAUUGAACUUGAGGGAAGGAGAAAUAUUACUUCUGAGGUCAAGCUUUAUAAAUAUGCUAUAGCAGGUCAUGUACUAUAUUAAGGGUCUGUUUUGCUUAAUAAACAUUAAAUUAAUGUG